rnacentral:rRNA from 1 species
UACGAAGGGGGCUAGCGUUGUUCGGAAUUACUGGGCGUAAAGGGCGCGUAGGCGGCCAUUCAAGUUAGAUGUGAAAGCCCUGGGCUCAACCUAGGAAUUGCAUUUGAUACUGUUUGGCUUGAGUUCGGGAGAGGUGAGUGGAAUUCCCAGUGUAGCGGUGAAAUGCGUAGAUAUUGGGAGGAACACCAGUGGCGAAGGCGGCUCACUGGACCGGUACUGACGCUGAUGCGCGAAAGCGUGGGGAGCAAACGGG